GUGAGCGUAGCUCAAUGGCAGAGCAUCGGGCUGUGGCCCCGAAUGUCGCGGGUUCGACCCCCGUCGCUCACCCCA
rnacentral:tRNA from 1 species